UACAGAGGUCUCAAGCGUUGUUCGGAUUCAUUGGGCGUAAAGGGUGCGUAGGCGGCGCGGUAAGUCGGGUGUGAAAUCUCGGGGCUUAACUCCGAAACUGCAUUCGAUACUGCCGUGCUUGAGGACUGGAGAGGAGACUGGAAUUUACGGUGUAGCGGUGAAAUGCGUAGAUAUCAAGUGGAACACCAGUGGCGAAGGCGAAUCCCUGGAAAAUACCUGACACUGAGGCACGAAAGCUAGGGGAGCAAACAGG
rnacentral:rRNA from 1 species